UGCCUGCUGACCACACCUUCCCAGCUCAUGAUCAGGAGAGAACUCUGGACUUUGCACUGAGAUACUUCUGCAGUUCAUCUUCCCCGCCAACCCCACUGCCUCCCAUCACCGCCGUCAAUAAUCUACCAGCUGUGAAGAGAGACUUAGUAAAAACAAGAACACAAACUUUGUCCCAGGGACACAGUCCCAGAACGGAGACUGCGCCAGGCACGUGGGAAGAACAAACAGUGAGAGUACAGAGGGCAAGUGCCUACUUCACUGGACAAACCAUCACUCGUCCGACACCUCUCAACACUGCUGUUUUCUGAAUGAAAUCCCUGGAAGGAACCUCUCAGGAGCGAGUCUCCCAGUUCUCCAGUCUCAUUUAUCAUAACAACUACCUUGCAAUGGAGUCAGCCCCAAGGUUCUUAAUAAGGGCUCUUUAAAAAUUUAUUUUUAAAUGUGAACUGAUUUACUUAACUCAUUCGUAAUUUAAAAAACAAACGAAAACUAAUAAAGAAGUAUCAUUGUCAUACGUUAUGGAAAACUUUGCCCAGACCCCCACCCUCUACUUCCACAUAAAGACAUUAUCACUUGCACUGAAAAAAGCGUAAUCCUAAAGAUGUGAACACCUUUCAAAAGGGCGGAUUUCCUUCCUUUUCAUGACAAUGACACAAUAAAUGUCCUUAAUACAAAUGU